rnacentral:rRNA from 1 species
GAUGAACGCUGGCGGCGUGCCUAAUACAUGCAAGUCGAGCGAACAGACGAGGAGCUUGCUCCUCUGACGUUAGCGGCGGACGGGUGAGUAACACGUGGAUAACCUACCUAUAAGACUGGGAUAACUUCGGGAAACCGGAGCUAAUACCGGAUAAUAUAUUGAACCGCAUGGUUCAAUAGUGAAAGACGGUUUUGCUGUCACUUAUAGAUGGAUCCGCGCCGCAUUAGCUAGUUGGUAAGGUAACGGCUUACCAAGGCGACGAUGCGUAGCCGACCUGAGAGGGUGUUCGGCCACACUGGAACUGAGACACGGUCCAGACUCCUACGGGAGGCAGCAGUAGGGAAUCUUCCGCAAAGGGCGAAAGCCUGACGGAGCAACGCCGCGUGAGUGAUGAAGGUCUUCGGAUCGUAAAACUCUGUUAUUAGGGAAGAACAAAUGUGUAAGUAACUAUGCACGUCUUGACGGUACCUAAUCAGAAAGCCACGGCUAACUACGUG